UACGCUGGUUUAUAACAUCUCGCGAGUGCUGCCAUGGAGAUCUAUCAGUGUACUACGUAUGUUGAAAACAAAUGUACGAUCAACAAUGAACAACAACAGUUACUAGCAUUACUGCAUAUUUAUCGGGAUUUCAGUGUGAAUAUUGACAAAGUAAUAGAGAAGUUUGUUUCUGCCUAGACCCGAAGAGCAGAUUUUUGGACAAUUUUGAGUAAAUUCUGUAUCACAAAUAUGUGUUUUUUAUGUAUUACUUAAUUCAGAAGAUUUAU
rnacentral:lncRNA from 1 species